AUUGAACGCUGGCGGCAGGCCUAACACAUGCAAGUCGGACGGUAGCACAGAGAGCUUGCUCUCGGGUGACGAGUGGCGGACGGGUGAGUAAUGUCUGGGGAUCUGCCCGAUAGAGGGGGAUAACCACUGGAAACGGUGGCUAAUACCGCAUCACGUCGCAAGAACAAAGAGGGGGACCUUCGGGCCUCUCACUAUCGGACGUACCCAGAUGGGAUUAGCUAGUAGGCGGGGUAACGGCCCACCUAGGCGACGAUCCCUAGCUGGUCUGAGAGGAUGACCAGCCACACUGGAACUGAGACACGGUCCAGACUCCUACGGGAGGCAGCAGUGGGGAAUAUUGCACAAUGGGCGCAAGCCUGACGCAGCCAUGCCGCGUGUAUGAAGAAGGCCUUCGGGUUGUAAAGUACUUUCAGCGGGGAGGAAGGCGAUGUGGUUAAUAACCGCAUUGAUUGACGUUACCCGCAGAAGAAGCACCGGCUAACUCCGUGCCAGCAGCCGCCGCAG
rnacentral:rRNA from 1 species